AAACAAAAAAAUUGAUAUAUUAAAAAAGUGUAAGAGCCAAAAACAGACUGUUCAAGUCAUUGAUAUAUCUAUCCAAGAGUGUAUGUAUCUAUGCAUAGUGUAUAAUCUCAUGAGCCAAAAAAAUACUAUUACUCAUUGAUCUAUCAAAAUGUGCAUGAAUCUAUGUAUAAGGUAUUACCAUUAGCCCAAAAAAACACUUUUUGAAGUCAUUGAUCUAUCAAAGAGUAUAUGUUUCUAUGUGUAAUGACUCAUGAGCCAAACAACUUUUUUGAAGUCAUUGAUCUAUCAAAGGUGCAUUUUACCUGCUGGGGUCUCAUGAUCUUUGUGUCAGGAUCAUCUAACGACUCACGCCAGUGUGACAAGUAUCCAGCAAUACGUGCGACUGCCAUGAAUGAUGAUGGGAUUCCCAUUGCCCUGUGUGUUUUGCCCAUUUCAAUUACCAACACAAAAGAUUCAGGUAAAGAAAGAACUCAUUGGGUUACAACAACUCAUUAGUAAGAAUUUGUUAGAUGACUCAUCAAUGUCUUACCUAUAGAUUAAUCCAGAGUAGAAAUCAGCAUUUGGGUAAAGCUUUCUUUUAAUGAAAUAUUCAUCCGAGAGUGCCGCCUUCUCUAGAGCAUCUCCUACCUGAAAACAUUAACACCAAAUCUUUCCUAAAACACACAUUCAUCAAGGAACAUGCAAGAUACGUGAGCAACAAGAAUCUAAAGUACCUCAAACAGAGGCUCCCUUCCAAGAAUGGAGAACACUUCAUCCGCCAGUUUCUUAACGACUUUUCCUCGAGGAUCGUAUUUUUUGUAAACACGGUGACCAAAACCCGACAACUUCCUCUUCCUGGAAGGAAAAUAGUUAACACUAAUGGAAUAUUGACUCAUGACAUUCUAGAUACUUGUAGUAUAAAGAAUUGAGUAACUUAUUCUUCACGCUUUCAAUGAACUCUGGAAUAUUUUCAACAGUGCCAAUCUCUGAUAACAUGUUAACCGUAGCCUCAAUUGCACCACCAUGAAGUGGACCAUAAAUGGCUCCAACACCUCCCGCAACAGCAGUAUACACAUCAACACCACUACAUAAUUAAACACAGUAAUGAUUAAAAAAUAUCUCCUAGCAGACUCAAAUCAAAUGAAUCUCUAACCAGUGAUAAGUACCUAGAGGAAAGAUGCCGAGCAGCAGCAGUAGAGCAGUUCAUCUCAUGUUCAACAUGCAGAAUGAAGAUAAUGUCCAACACUCGAGCUAGCCGAGGAUUAGGCUUGUAAGACUUAUUUCCCCUGUAAUCAGUGGAAGAUGAGAGUAAACAAGUGCACAAUUAUCUGACUACCCUCUUCAAAUCCAAGUGUUUAAUCAAACAAAGAGGGACUAUAACGUACAUUGAUUCCACCAUAUAGAGGAAAUUCUCUGAAUAAGAAAGGUUGCUCAAAGGUUGAACAGGAGGCUUGCCUGCCUUCCUCAAAUAAGCAGCUGCUGCAAUUGUUGGUGCCUGCAGAUAGAUACAUUAUACUAUAUUUCACAGUCCGGUUACACAUCAAGACACCAAAUCAACAGACAGAACAUUUAUAUACCUGUCCAAGAAUACGAAAAAUCUGUUUAUCACGAACUUGUUUUGACUGGUAAACACCUAGGCCCUGCACCAAAUGGGGAUUUCCAUGUCGGCGUGGACAUGUUCAGAAAGUCUUAACAGAAGGAAGAAAGCAGGAUUAUAAAGCUUACCAUAAGAGAAGGAUUUGCAUCAGGAUAAAAGAUGGAAAGUGCACUCAUUGCAGUGACAAGAGCUCCUAUUGGAUGUACAUCAUGAGGCAUGGACUGUAUGAGAUCCUGUGAAAACAUUCAGAAAAAUCAUCUCAGCUCCAAGAUCCAGAGAAAGUUGGGAAAGAGUAGAAAGAAAUUCACCAAUACUCCUUGUGGCACAGCUGAAUUCUGAGAAAUCGCAAACUCCCAAUCAGCUAGCUGUCGUUGAGAAGGCAGAUUCCCAUAAACUGCAUGAGAAAAAAAAACAGAGUACUAGAACACUAUGGGAGACAAAAACUUCAAGAACUACGAUUCAACAUUUGCUUGUGUCACAAGUAUACGUCCCAAAAGUAAAAUAAGCAACAAGAAGAAGCUACAAGAUGAUCAAGACUUACUUAGGAGAUAAGUAACCUCUGUAUAAGUACUUUUCUCAGCCAACUCCUCGACUGAGUAUCCCCGAUAACGUAAGAUUCCUUCAUCUCCAUCGAUGUAAGAAAUCGAAGAUCGAACAGGAGCCGUGUUUAAGUAACCAGGAUCGUAUAACUUAAGCCCCUUGUCAUCCUCCCCUGUCGUUAUCUGCACACCAAACAUGCAAAUCCAUUUACACACACACAAUAUACAAAAAAGUCGUAGUACUAAAUUAAGAGCCACAAGGAAGAAAUGACUUCAGAAUUACAACUCGUUAUAUAUAUAUACCUUCUUGAGAUCAACGGCUUUAACGGUACCAUGCUCUGAGACAGGGACCUGAUAUUUUUUACCCGUACGUUCGUCGACGAUCGUCAAGUUUCCUUCAAGGGAUCCAUGCGGUGUAGCACUAAUGUGAGAUGAUGUGCACCACGGCUCGAUCGUCGGCAACACCUGAGUCGGCUCAGAUGCCGCCAAGUGCGCAGUGAGAACGGCUAAUCGAGCGCUAGCUCUCUCCGGAAUCUCCAUUUUGCACCUCAAAAAGCAGAAUUCAAGAAAGGAAGCGGAUAGGAAAUCAAGUGACUGUAGUUGAAAUUGAUAUAUCGACAUGGUUUUAUAGUGGCGAAAUUUGAUAAUUUUUAAGUGUAAAUAAUGAAUUUUAUAACGUAACACUUUUGUCGUAAUACUUUCGUGGCCUUGUGGGCAUGAUUGGCGUGAAUCUACAGUGCCUUUUUUUUGUCUUCAGUCAGAGUUUUGUGGCUUUUAACCAAUUUUAUGUAUUUUUUGGUUGCUUCUUACUUUUUCUGUUAAGUACGUAAGCGUCAAGUAAUCCAGGGUUUGUAUUUGUUCACACUUCUCACGAUUGUUUUCCUCAUUUUUUAAAUGGAAAUAUUAUUGGCAAUAAUAGAAAACGAUAGGAAAACUUCAGGCAAAUUAUAAAUAGCAUGCCAAUAAAUCAUUUCGAUCUACGCUAUGAAUUGGUGGUUAGUUAACUUUUUCCAAAUCAGUGUGUUAAAUAUAAAUCUUUACAACUAUAGCAAUGUGUUAUAUUAACAGGAAUAAGAAGAUCAUCUUCUACAACGAACUUUCCUCAUAAAAGCCCAAUUUAUCAGAAUUACAUGUCUUUUCCCUGUAACAAGAUUGUUAUUAUUAUUAAAUCAUAAAGUUUUAAAUAACAGACAAACAAUAAGAAUAGGGUGUAUUAUUAAGUGUUUAAUUAUAAAAGAAAGAAAACAACACAGUUGUUGAGGAGACUCUCUUAAUUUCCCAGAGGUAUCCCAAUGUUUUCUUCUUUAUUGGUGUGUUGUAGGAUUGAGACUAAAGGGCAGAUGAUCCAGCUAAACGCCUUCUUGAUGCAUUCGAAAUGGAAACUUGACCAAACUUAUCCGUACCCGAAUCACUUGAUAACGUUCGUUCUCUCACUGGCUCAUAAUGCCUCAUCCACACUCCAGUAUAGGCCUAUAUGCAGCCACACAAUACAAUGAGCUCAAACACAAAACCUUUUGAUCUAUCAAACACGUGUAUGUCAAGAUUCGAGUUUAUGUAAUGUAUUUUACCUGUUGGGGUCUCAUGAUCCUAGUGUCAGGAUCAUCUAACGACUCACGCCAGUG
rnacentral:lncRNA from 1 species